CAUUCUGACUGAAUAAGUGAAUAUGUAUGUAGCCACUAGCCUUUUUUCCCUGCGCCAUCCACAGUGCUCCCAGGGGUGAGACAAAUUCAUCCACACAAUGAAACCAUAUGAUGGAUCAUGCAUGCACCACAACAGCAACAUCACAGAUCAAAACAGACAUAUUCAUGCGCCUGAUCUCCCAAGCAUCAUAUCUCAAGGCCGGCCCAAGCACUGGAUGAAGACUGUUGAGGGGCAAAGAUUCAGAGGUUGUGUCAGCCAGUGGCGUUGCCCAACACCACGCUCAAAGGCACACGCCACACACAGCCACAGCCACAACACAGCAUGCAUAAACACUCCGUCACACACACACAACCACAUAAGAAGCAUUCAAAAAGAACAAUCAAUGGGAAGGGGAUGCAGGGCAUGACCAUUUAAGGAAGCAUCCUUGAAUAAACAAAUGGGGGCCAGAUUUUGGAUUCAACACCUGAAUUUGUGAAAAUGCCACCUUUGGAUCAGAACACGCAACCAAAAAUGAAUACAACAAUGCACAAUCAGUCCAACAUUCCCAAACAAAAAUGCUGAAUUCUGAUUUAAACUACAGCUUUUCUAAGAUGUAACUUUACAACUGGUGAUCAACCGCAUGGUCUUGAUUAUUCUUCAUUUGGAUUAUGUAAGCAUAUAUUAAUAUGCUUGGCAUGUUAAAACAGUCAGGUGUAUUUGCUUUAAUCAUAAUCCACAUAAAGAUGGGGAUUAGAGCAAUGACAUAUGAGAAAUAUACCUAUAUUUUCCACUGCUCUCAGAUUUUAGAGAACGGACAUUAGAACCAUAACCAUGUUCCCCGUUGCUCUUAAAUUUGAUGUAUAUUUAGAUGACGAGCUAAGCAAGUAUUAGGCAAAAACAAAAAACAUACUACAGAAUACACAUGGGUCUCAUCCAGCAGUGGGGUGUGUGGGAGAGGGUUGGAAUCCUUUCGGAUCUGAGGAAGGCGUAUGCUAAAAUGGUAAAAAAAUAUGGUCGAAAAUAGGGGACGAGAACGACGAGAAGGGCGUGAGAUCCAGACUUACUCAGUUCGUGAUGGCGUUCCUGUAGAGCUCCCGCAAGGUGAUGGGGAACUCCACCGCCAUCCUCCGUCCUCAAGUUCCCCGUCCGCCCACCGGAUUUGGUUGUUGUUGCCCCGCGUGUGGAUCCGCUGACGGGAGAAGCCGACGCUGUGCGCUAGUCAAUUUGGACUGAAAAAAAAAGAAGCAAUGGAAGAUAGAAAACAGGGGGUCCAGUGAAAACAAAUCAGUUUUGUCCUUACCCUUUUAGUCCUUCCGCGCCGUCCAGAUAGGUGAUAUAGAAUAAAAAUAAACUACGGGGAUAAUUCUGAAAAUAACCACAUCGUCUUCAACCUCAGAAACCCCUAACCCCCCGUGAUUAGAGAGAGAAAUCGGGAUCAAAUUCAGGUCGUGAUUCUUUGCACCGGCCGAAACUUUUCUUGGGGGAGGGGCGGAUCUUUAGACAAUUAGCUUGAUUCCCCUCUCCCCUUGCUACAAUCUUGGCGAUCCCAUCACGUGUCAUCGCCCAGCCCCCUUUCCCAUCACACACAGAGCCAAAAAANNN
rnacentral:lncRNA from 1 species